rnacentral:siRNA from 1 species
UCCGGUCAGCAUCAUCAGUAC